rnacentral:rRNA from 1 species
AGAGUUUGAUCCUGGCUCAGGAUGAACGCUAGCUACAGGCUUAACACAUGCAAGUCGAGGGGAAACGAUAUUGGAAGCUUGCUUCCGAUGGGCGUCGACCGGCGCACGGGUGAGUAACGCGUAUCCAACCUGCCCAUCACUUGGGGAUAACCUUGCGAAAGUAAGACUAAUACCCAAUGACGUCUCUAGAAGACAUCUGAAAGGGAUUAAAGAUUUAUCGGUGAUGGAUGGGGAUGCGUCUGAUUAGCUUGUUGGCGGGGUAACGGCCCACCAAGGCGACGAUCAGUAGGGGUUCUGAGAGGAAGGUCCCCCACAUUGGAACUGAGACACGGUCCAAACUCCUACGGGAGGCAGCAGUGAGGAAUAUUGGUCAAUGGGCGAGAGCUUGAACCAGCCAAGUAGCGUGCAGGAUGACGGCCCUAUGGGUUGUAAACUGCUUUUAUAAGGGAAUAAAGUGAGUCUCGUGAGACUUUUUGCAUGUACCUUAUGAAUAAGGACCGGCUAAUUCCGUGCCAGCAGCCGCGGUAAUACGGAAGGUCCGGACGUUAUCCGGAUUUAUUGGGUUUAAAGGGAGCGUAGGCCGGAGAUUAAGCGUGUUGUGAAAUGUAGAUGCUCAACGUCUGCACUGCAGCGCGAACUGGUUUCCUUGAGUACGCACAAAGUGGGCGGAAUUCGUGGUGUAGCGGUGAAAUGCUUAGAUAUCACGAAGAACUCCGAUUGCGAAGGCAGCUCACUGGAGCGCAACUGACGCUGAAGCUCGAAAGUGCGGGUAUCGAACAGGAUUAGAUACCCUGGUAGUCCGCACGGUAAACGAUGGAUGCCCGCUGUUGGUCUGAAUAGGUCAGCGGCCAAGCGGAAGCAUUAAGCAUCCCACCUGGGGAGUACGCCGGCAACGGUGAAACUCAAAGGAAUUGACGGGGGCCCGCACAAGCGGAGGAACAUGUGGUUUAAUUCGAUGAUACGCGAAGAACCUUACCUAGACUUGACAUCCCCGGCAAAUCUAUAGAGAUAUAGAGGAGGUUACCCGGGUGACAGGUGGUGCAUGGUUGUCGUCAGCUCGUGUCGUGAGAUGUUCGGUUAAGUCCGAUAACGAGCGCAACCCUCGUCGUUAGUUACUAACAGUUAGGCUGAGGACUCUAACGAGACUGCCGGUGAUAAACCGGAGGAAGAUGGGGAUGACGUCAAAUCAUCAUGCCCCUUACGUCUAGGGCUACAGGCGUGCUACAAUGGCCGACACAAAAAGAAGCAAAACCGUGAGGUGGAGCAAAUCUUAAAAAUCGGUCUCAGUUCGGAUUGAAGUCUGCAACUCGACUUCAUGAAGCUGGAAUCGCUAGUAAUCCUGAAUCAGAAUGUCAGGGUGAAUACGUUCCCGGGUGUUGUACUCACCGCCCGUCAAG